rnacentral:lncRNA from 1 species
GCCGCGCUGGGAGAGCGCCGGGGGAACGCCGGGAGAACAUCGGGAAAACGCCGGGAGAACACCGGGAAAACGUCGGGAGAACAUCGGGAGAACACCGAGAGAACACCGGGAGAAGACCAAGAAUGCGCCAGAUGAGAAAGUGCGACUGUUGUGCAUAAGAAAAAGGUGUGCCAGAGAGAGACUGACACCUUCAUUGCAGUUACAUUCCUGCAGGAUUUGUGCAAAUCACAGACAGGCCAUCAGCUCUGAGUACAUGAAGACACUCCCAACUUUUUGUAACCUGACAGCCUCUGCUGUUCCUGCCUAA